rnacentral:rRNA from 1 species
GACGAACGCUGGCGGCGUGCUUAACACAUGCAAGUCGAACGGAAAGGCCCUGCUUUUGUGGGGUGCUCGAGUGGCGAACGGGUGAGUAACACGUGAGUAACCUGCCCUUGACUUUGGGAUAACUUCAGGAAACUGGGGCUAAUACCGGAUAGGAGCUCCUGCUGCAUGGUGGGGGUUGGAAAGUUUCGGCGGUUGGGGAUGGACUCGCGGCUUAUCAGCUUGUUGGUGGGGUAGUGGCUUACCAAGGCUUUGACGGGUAGCCGGCCUGAGAGGGUGACCGGCCACAUUGGGACUGAGAUACGGCCCAGACUCCUACGGGAGGCAGCAGUGGGGAAUAUUGCACAAUGGGCGGAAGCCUGAUGCAGCAACGCCGCGUGCGGGAUGACGGCCUUCGGGUUGUAAACCGCUUUCGCCUGUGACGAAGUGUGAGUGACGGUAAUGGGGAAAGAAGCACCGGCUAACUACGU